rnacentral:lncRNA from 1 species
ACAGAGACCCUCUGGGGGCACAUAGGGACCCUCUGGGGACAUGGAGACCCCUCGUGGGCACAUGGGGACCUUUGGAGGACAUGGAGACCCCACGGGGACCGUUUGGGGACACAUGGACGCUCUUUGGGGACCUUUUGGGGACCCAUGGGGACCCUUGGAGGACACAGAGACCCUUUGGGGACACAUGGGCACCCUCUGGGGACACGGAGACCCCUCGUGGGCACAUGGGGACCUUUGGAGGACAUGGAGUCCCCACGGGGACCCAUGGGGACCGUUUGGGGACACAUGGACACUCUUUGGGACCUUUUGGGGACUCAUGGGGACAUUUUGGGGACCUAUAAGGACCCUUGGAGGACACAGAGACCCUUUGGGGACACAUGGGGACCCUCUGGGGACAGGAAGACCCCUUUGGGGACAUUUUGGGGGCACACGGAGACCCCUUGGGGACACGUGGAGACACUUUGGGGACCCGCCGGGGGCACGGGGACCCUUUGGGGCCCCGCCGGUGACGCGGCGUUGUCCUCAGCCCAGGCGCACGUUGAUCGCUGCGUGGCCGAGCGGCGGCACCGCGGCGCUGCCGGGGCUGCGGGCUGCGUCACCGAGCAGCUGCUGCACCACGGCGUCCCCGUGCGCGACAUCUACGGCUGCGUCACCGAGCUGCUCGUGGCCGGCGUCGACACCGUGAGCGGGGACGGGGGGCACGGAAUGGGGUCGGGGUGGAGGUUAUGGGGUCAGGGUGGACACAAUGGGACCGGGGUGGAUGUGAUGGGGUUGGGGUGGACACAGUGGGAUUGGGGUGGCCUCCAUGGGGUUGGGGUGGAGGUAAUGGGGUCAGGGUGGCCUUAGUGGGGUUGGGGUGGGUGUAAUGGGGCUGGGGUGGAGGUAAUGGGGUUGGGAUGGACACAAUGGGACUGGGGUGGGUGUAAUGGGGUUGGGGUGGAGGUUAUAGGGUUGGGGUGGCCACCAUGGGGUCAGGGUAGCCACCAAGGGAAUGGGGUGGAGGU